GUAGGGAAUAUUGGGCAAUGGAUGCAAGUCUGACCCAGCCAUCCCGCGUGCCGGAAGAAGGCCCUCAGGGUUGUAAACGGCUUUUGACGGUGAAGAACCGACAGGAUGCGUCCUGUUUUGACGGUAGCCGUUGAAUAAGCACCGGCUAACUCCGUGCCAGCAGCCGCGGUAAUACGGAGGGUGCGAGCGUUGUCCGGAUUUAUUGGGUUUAAAGGGUGCGUAGGCUGGAAGGUCAGUGAGCGGUGAAAAGCUAUCGCUUAACGAUAGUCUUGCCGCAGAUACUUCCUUUCGUGGAUGAGGAGGAGGCCACUGGAACGGAUGGUGUAGCGGUGAAAUGCAUAGAUAUCAUCCAGAACACCGAUUGCGAAGGCAGGUGGCUGUACCUUAAUCGACGCUGAUGCACGAAAGCAUGGGGAGCAAACAGGAUUAGAAACCCCGGUAGUCC
rnacentral:rRNA from 1 species